AACGCGAAGAACCUUACCUAGACUUGACAUCUCCUGAAUUACUCUUAAUCGAGGAAGUCACUUCGGUGACAGGAAGACAGGUGGUGCAUGGUUGUCGUCAGCUCGUGUCGUGAGAUGUUGGGUUAAGUCCCGCAACGAGCGCAACCCCUAUUGUUAGUUGCUACCAUUUAGUUGAGCACUCUAGCGAGACUGCCCGGGUUAACCGGGAGGAAGGUGGGGAUGACGUCAAAUCAUCAUGCCCCUUAUGUCUAGGGCUACACACGUGCUACAAAGGCUGGUACAGAGAGAUGCGAUACCGUGAGGUGGAGCCAAACUUUAAAACCAGUCUCAGUUCGGAUUGUAGGCUGAAACUCGCCUACAUGAAGCUGGAGUUGCUAGUAAUCGCGAAUCAGAAUGUCGCGGUGAAUACGUUCCCGGGCCUUGUACACACCGCCCGU
rnacentral:rRNA from 1 species